rnacentral:lncRNA from 1 species
CUUUUCUAUAUUCUAUACUCAUAGCAAAUACAUGUAUAUUUUCUUUUUCCUUUUUUUCUUUUCUUUUUUCUUUUUUUUUUUGAGACAGGGUUACUUUUGCCCAGGCUCAAGUGCAGUGGUGCAAUCUCGGCUCACUGCAACCUCUGCCUCCUGCGUUCAGGUGAUUCUCAUGCCUCAACCUCCUGAGCAGCUGGGACUACAGAGUAUUGGAAUGAGGCUGUUGAGAGCUGGGCUGAAGGAAUGUUUUGGGAAUGGAUGGUCUGGCCCAUUUGCUGUUGCCUGAGCAAGCUGGUGAGGAUCUCUGCUCUGGGCUCAUUUGGGAGGAGAGCCUCUCCUUUUCUCUGGGGAAGUGUCGUGGGUGCCCUGGGUGAAGCAGGGAGGAACUGGUGAAGGGAGAAACACCCAGCUAGGAGACACUUUGUAGGGAGGAGGUAGGGGCUCCCAAGAUUCAUGCUUGAGUACUGGCCCUGCAGUCUACCAGCUGAAGACUUCAAAAAAAGACUUAACCUCUUUGUCCUCUAUUAGCAAAGGCGCUCAAAGGUGAGGUUCACAGGAGGAGAUUUCUGCACAGAGUUUAGAACAAUAUGAGGGAUUUUCUUUUUAUUUCCUUACCAGCUGAGAUUGGUGAGCCAUUCACAUUGACAGAAUGCUCAUGACAAAUGAACAACCACAGAGGCAAAGCCAGGCUAAAAAUCGUCACAAAACAGAACAGAUGUUCCCACCCUCUGAAGACAGAGUUGUAGUUUCAUAGGCCUCAAGAUGGAAAGAUUCAUCCGGGGAGCAUAAACUAAGGGGACACUGAGCAGUGCCGCUUCUGGGGCUUUGAGAAACUGAGUACUACUUGUUCCCUUCUAUGGCAGAAUGCUAAGGAGAGGAGCCGUCAUUGCAAUGUGAAUAGAGGCAACUGGGAAUUGCAUUAAAGGGACUUCAAGGAUCUCCCAGCUUCAUUCUGCGGACAGCCAAUGUAGAACCCUGCCUCAGUCCCAAUCUAUGUAACAUUCAUCUCUAACCCUUUCUUGGCCUCGUGGUAGCUUUCCUCCAAUACUCCAAUUGGGGCCUUUGCCAUGAUGACAUCAGGAUAUUUUUUAAGUUCCCCUUGGAUUGCAUCGAGGCUUCUCUAUGUUGCUUGAGAGGGGCUGCCCAUCUUGCAAACUUUAAAGCACAGUGAAAACAACCUUCCACAAGCUCCCGGAAACUCCCUGAUGCCUUUCUCUGAGGUAAAGGUCUUUAGAUGGUACCUAGUUUUGUGUUAGAAGCUUUCACACCAAGCAGCCAAAAAGGCUCCAUCCUCACCUGAUUUGUGGUCCCCAGAAAGGAGCCUGCAUUAGGCCGAUAAGUCAUCAUCCAGAGAGGUGAUGACAGUCGUCUCCAUGACCAUUGAUUAAUGAAAACAGGGCUAGUUGGACCCAGAGUAGAUGGUUAUAAAUGGUGCUGUCAGAGAAAAAUAAUUAUUGUAUUAAUAAGGAAACAGUCCAAAACCAGGCUCUAAAAAAAGAGAACUGGCAACUUAGCAUCUCCAUGGAUUUCUGAGGCAGACUUGACGGAAUAGUGGGGAGGUUGGGGGAAGGUAUUCUAGCUCCCCCACCACCCGCCUCUCCAGAAGGCAGCCCCUCCUUGCCUGUGCACGUGCCCACGUCCACGCGUGGAUGCGCGGUGGGUGCGCUCGACCUGACCCAGCUCUCCCGGGAUGCGGCAGAUGAGCCGGGGUUGCGUGGAGGCUUUCGGUACCACUUCCAGCAGGAACGGAGAAAAACGAGCAUAUCUUAUUGUACCUGAAACACUCUAUGAUAUGUACUAAAUAUUAUGACUACUCGGGGCCUUGCAAUAAUUGAUUCACCCACACAGCCAUUUAGUCUGCGAGCUGUUCGUUUUACAAAUUCUACAAUCUUUUAGAAAUUCUUUCAGUGCGGAAGAUUGCUGCCUGGCCUCAGAUUCAUUAUGGUGAUUGAAUCCUCUUCAAUAGAGAACGGUUUAAAGAGAGCACAGGCCCCGUGCGUCUCACUCAGAGUUAAGGCGCAUAGGUUAAAAGCUUGUCUGGUGGCAUAAUUCACUGCCGCUAUGCCAAACAAUCACGUCUUAUUGUGACCUUCAUAAGAUACAAAAAGGCAACAGGAUAGAGCUUGGCUUUUUUUUAAACCCACUCACAGAUUUAGCUUCCCAACAUCUGAAGCUUGGAGAAUUCCUAAUUAAAUAACCAAUUAAUAAUGUAGAAUAGAAAAAGCUAUUUUUUUUCUGAAAUGCAAAAUCAUAAUUAAUCAGAGUACAAAAAGCUGCCUGUCUUUAUAUCAGAAAAAUAUAGACUAGGUAUUUAAAUAUUCCACCACACCUGAACCCUGGCCAUCCGUCAUUGCUAUGACUUAAAACAUCUCAGACUAAAUUAGGUUUUGUUUGUAUAGAGCAGUGAAAGUCAGAUGGCUUGAAUGACAAAAUUAGAACAUGCUCAAAUCACUGAGACAAAACCGCAUAAAGAGAAAGAUGUGCAGGAAAAGGGCUGCCAGUAUGAAGCAGAAAUCUUCCACUGAUUUUUUUUUUUGAAAAAAAAAAAAAAAAAGCGUUCUUUCCUAUUUACCCAACCACUUGGUGUAAGUAUAAAUUUUUGACCCCCAGGCAGACAUUCCAGGAAAAGAAAAAUUAUCCCCACCCCCUUGUCAAUUGCCCAAAAUAGCAUGCACAGCUCUAAACAAGUACCCUCCCCAUCACGUCCCCCACCCCAGUUUCUCCACCCCGGGUUGGCCCUGGCCCUGGUGUCUACACCCUCAGCAGACCCGCCCACCGCUCCAGCCCACGCCCAGCCCCCGCCCACUGAUACUGUCAGUAACACCAGACACCAGCCGCUAAGGUUCUCCCCCCACCCACCCGGGCACUCCGCACCACCUCCAAGCGCAUUUAUAGUUGGAAAGAAAAGCUCAUUUUUAUAGGUGGUGCCACCUCCACAAUUUAUACUUUGCCCAUGAAAUACCAAAACCAGGGAGUCAAUUUUCCAAGGAAGAAAUUUUAUAAAAACACUUUUAUUGAUGGAAGAGAUCUGCAGAGACGGUCGCCAUCUGCAAGGAAGCGAAGGCUCUUGCAGGUGCGGGUUGAUCCAGGGCUGCCCAAGCGUCCCUCACUCAGGACCACGCGCCCAGGCACUAAGCAUGUUAUUUCUGUGUCUUCCGAACAUGCUAAGCAUUUCCUUACCCUCCGGCUUUUGCUCCUGCCGUUUCUUCCUCGUGGAAGUGAAUAUUUGAAACCUACCUGGUCUUCCCAAGGUGGCCCAGUUAUUACUGUGUGACGACUUCUUCCUGGCUUCCCUGGUGAAAAGCUGUUCCGUCCUGCCUGCAGGUCCCUGUGUUACUUUGCUGAUCACAUUCUCCCUCGUGUCUGUGGGUGUGGACUCUACCCAUGACUUCCCUGUCACCUGGGGGCCGGUGCCCUGAGCCCAAGCCAGCCCUGCAUCGGGGCUGGGCACAGGGUGUACUCAGGCGAUGGUGGGGCCACAGUGCAGGUUUAGAGGGGCCCUCUCUCCACCCACGAUGCCACCAGCCUCUGUCCCACCCUACGCCACAAAUCUCCUUCAAUAUAUAAUUUGCUGUUAUCAUAGCAAUAAAUAAUUUUUGGUGACGUUUUUACUGUUGAGACUUUGUGCGGUGUUUUUUUAUUGACAAAACCGCUAUGAAUCAACAUGAACACAAUAAAAACGUGAGAGCUAUCUGCAUUACGGCUGAGGUUUUGUCAAUAGGGCAGUGCAUUGAUCUCCGUUCCUCUUUGGGGUUAUUUGUGGAGCUUCAGCGGGUGGGUUUAGG